GGCGAAGUAGUUCAGUGGUAGAACACCACCUUGCCAAGGUGGGGGUCGCGGGUUCGAAUCCCGUCGUUCGCUU
rnacentral:tRNA from 1 species